rnacentral:rRNA from 1 species
UACGGAGGGGGCUAGCGUUGUUCGGAAUUACUGGGCGUAAAGCGCACGUAGGCGGACUGUUAAGUCGGGGGUGAAAUCCCGGGGCUCAACCCCGGAACUGCCUUCGAUACUGGCAGUCUAGAGGACGGCAGAGGCUAGUGGAAUGGCGAGUGUAGAGGUGAAAUUCGUAGAUAUUCGCCGGAACACCAGUGGCGAAGGCUACUGGCUGGGCCGUUUCUGACGCUGAGGUGCGAAAGCGUGGGGAGCAAACAGG